rnacentral:lncRNA from 1 species
GAUCUAAUAUAAAAUCAUAGGCGCCUUGGCCUAAACAGCUACCGCAUGCCAUUUAUAGGUAACCUUUGUCGUCAAUGAAAUUGUUAGCAUUGAGAGAUAGGAGAGUGCUACGACUAGUAGAUCUAAUGACUAUGCUUAAAACUAAUGACUAGAGAAGAUUGAUGAUUCAAGGCGAAAUGUCGAGCAAUAACAGGAUAAAAUUUGUCAUAAAAGAAGCACUUCCAACUACUAGAGCAUUUCUAAUAAUAAUAAUUUUUUAUUUUUGUUUUAAUGCCGUUUAUUUUUACAAAUCAAACGGCAUUAUACAGUCAAGACAAGAUAUAAAUAACAGAAAUGCAUUGCAUGUUUACAUUAUUUAUAAUUUAUACCGGUUUCUUCGUUGGUUGCGUCGGUUGUGGAGGAGUAGGAGGACCGAGUGUGUGGCAGCGC